UGGUAGCGUAGCUAACGCGAGAAGUUGACCGCCUGGGGAGUACGGCCGCAAGGUUAAAACUCAAAGGAAUUGACGGGGACCCGCACAACGGUGGAUGAUGUGGAUUAAUUGAUGCAACGCGAAAAACCUUACCUGGUCUUGACAUGUACAGAACUUUCCAGAGAUGGAUUGGUGCCCGAAAGGGAGCUGUAACACAGGUGCUGCAUGGCUGUGUCAGCUCGUGUCGUGAGAUGUUGGGUUAAGUCCCGCAACGAGCGCAACCCUUGCCAUUAGUUGUCCAUUUAGUUGAGCACUCUAAUGGGACUGCCGGUGACAAACCGGAGGAAGGUGGGGAUGACGUCAAGUCCUCAUGGCCCUUAUGACCAGGGCUUCACACGUCAUACAAUGGUCGGUACAGAGGGUCGCGAAGCCGCGAGGUGGAGCCAAUCUCAUAAAACCUGUAGUCCGGAUCGCACUCUGCAACUCGAGUGCGUGAAGUCGGAAUCGCUAGUA
rnacentral:rRNA from 1 species